GGGGUUGGAUGAGUACACUGCACAGAUCCACUACUGUUUCUUAGAUGCAUUUGAUUCUAUUUGACUCCCUCUACUCAGAUUAGAGAGUCCACCACAUCUUUCACCAGCUAAUCUUUAAGUUGAAUUGGUUAUAUAAUA